GAAAGAUGAUAGCAGCUUACCGUAUCCAGAAUGGCGUCCCUUUCUUCUUGCCUUUUCCAUUAUUGCUCUCAAUUUCUGAAGUUGAAAUGAACCUGGAUGGUGGCGGCGUGGGUGGUAGUGGAGGAUUCCGUCUAGAUGGUUGCUGCGAAAAAUUCUGGAGCUGCUAGCAAGAUGCAAUUCCUCCGCUCAGUUGUUCUGCUUGCCCAAAAUUCCUUUUCUUCUUGCUCGGUUUUUUGCAACUCCCUUUUCUUGCUCUGUUUCUGUUUGCAGCCGCGGCCCUUUUCUCUGUCUUUCCUUGGCUUUUCACCAAUUCUUUUCCGCACUUAGUUCCUUCAGCCCGCAGCCUUUUGCUUUUGCUUUGUUUUCC
rnacentral:lncRNA from 1 species